CAUUUACUCUCCCAUGGGUAGGACAGUCAUAAUGCUUUCACAUAAAAUUGCAGUAUGAACUGAUGGACAAGAACUCUGGGCCAGGAGUCAGGAGGCCCAGGUCCUCUCUGUGGUGAAAUGCCCUUGCAUUUGUCUUCUAAGGUAGGAGGGCAGACACCAUUGCCUUUGGUCUACAACUGAGGAAACAAUAUAGGGAGUCA
rnacentral:lncRNA from 10 species